rnacentral:antisense_RNA from 1 species
CUUGAUGGAGCCCAGCCAGAGCGGGUGGUUGUCGUCCCGGUCCUGGCCGUAGGUCGCCAGGAGUGCCUGGGCCUC